GUAUGUGGCAAGCGUUGUCCGGAAUUAUUGGGCGUAAAGCGCGCGCAGGUGGUUCUUUAAGUCUGAUGUGAAAGCCCCCGGCUCAACCGGGGAGGGUCAUUGGAAACUGGGGAACUUGAGUGCAGGAGAGGAAAGUGGAAUUCCACGUGUAGCGGUGAAAUGCGUAGAUAUGUGGAGGAACACCAGUGGCGAAGGCGACUUUCUGGCCUGUAACUGACACUGAGGCGCGAAAGCGUGGGGAGCAAACAGGGAUUAGAUACCCUGGUAGUCCACGCCGUAAACGAUGAGUGCUAAGUGUUGGGGGGGUUUCCGCCCCCUCAGUGCUGCAGCUAACGCAUUAAGCACUCCGCCUGGGAGUACGGUCGCAAGACUG
rnacentral:rRNA from 1 species